AGAGUUUGAUCAUGGCUCAGAACGAACGCUGGCGGCAUGGAUUAGGCAUGCAAGUCGAACGGGAGCAGCAAUGCUCCAGUGGCGCAAGGGUGAGGAACACGUGAACAACCUGCCUUCGAGUUGGGGAUAGCUUCUGGAAACGGGAGAUAAUACCGAAUAACAUCAUUUGGUCGCAUGACUGAAUGAUCAAAGCAGCAAUGCGCUUGAAGAGGGGUUCGCGUCCCAUUAGCUAGUUGGUGAGGUAACGGCCCACCAAGGCGAUGAUGGGUAGCUGGUCUGAGAGGACGAUCAGCCACAUUGGGACUGAGAUACUGCCCAGACUCCUACGGGAGGCUGCAGUCGAGAAUUUUGGGCAAUGGACGAAAGUCUGACCCAGCAAUGCCGCGUGCGGGAUGAAGGUCUUCGGAUUGUAAACCGCUGUCAAGAGGGACGAAGAUUGACGGUACCUCUGGAGGAAGCCACGGCUAACUACGUGCCAGCAGCCGCGGUAAUACGUAGGUGGCGAGCGUUGUUCGGAUUUAUUGGGCGUAAAGGGUCCGCAGGUGGUUGGAUAAGUUUGACGUGAAAUCCCAGAGCUCAACUCUGGAACUGCGUUGAAAACUGUCUGACUAGAGUAUCGGAGAGGAGAUUGGAAUUCCAGGUGUAGCGGUGGAAUGCGUAGAUAUCUGGAAGAACACCGAAAGCGAAGGCAGAUCUCUGGACGAUAACUGACACUCAGGGACGAAAGUAUGGGGAUCAAACAGGAUUAGAUACCCUGGUAGUCCAUACCCUAAACGUUGUCAACUUGAUGUGAGAAGUAGUUUACUCCUUUUCGUGUCGAAGCAAACGCGAUAAGUUGACCGCCUGGGAACUACGGCCGCAAGGCUAAAACUCAAAGGAAUUGACGGGGGCCCGCACAAGCGGUGGAGCAUGUGGCUUAAUUCGAGGCAACGCGAAGAACCUUACCUGGAUUUGACAUGGAUUGGCUACCGGUAGAAAUACCGGGUCCCGCAAGGGCCGAUUCACAGGUGCUGCAUGGCUGUCGUCAGCUCGUGCCGUGAGGUGUUCGGUUAAGUCCGGCAACGAGCGCAACCCACGUUAGUAGUUGCCAGCAGGUAAAGCUGGGCACUCUACUGAUACUGCCCGUGUUAAGCGGGAGGAAGGAGUGGAUGAUGUCAAGUCCGUAUGGCCUUUAUAUCCAGGGCUGCACACGUGCUACAAUGGCUGCUACAGAGGGAAGCGAAAUCGCGAGAUGGAGCAGAUCCGUAAAAACAGCCCUAGUUCGGAUUGCAGGCUGCAACUCGCCUGCAUGAAGCCGGAAUCGCUAGUAAAGGCGUAUCAGCCACGACGCCUUGAAUACGUUCCCGGGCCUUGUACACACCGCCCGUCACAUCAUGGGAGUUGAUUGCACCCGAAGCUGCUGACCGAACCUGCAAAGGACGGAGGCAUCUAAGGUGUGGUUAAUGACUGGGAUGAAGUCGUAACAAGGUAGCCGUUGGGGAACCAGCGGCUGGAUCACCUCCUU
rnacentral:rRNA from 1 species